CCAUCGCCAUCGCUAAUACUUACCAGGUAGGGAAGAAGACUGCUCGAUCCGACUGGGGUGUGGGUCCGGUGGCAUGGCGCUCUAGCAGUGCGGUUGGGGAAGAAGGGGAGAGACAUCCGACGGUGCGGCGCUCCGAUGGUGCGACUAGGGAAGAAUGGGGGAGGCAGGGAAAGAAGGGAGAGGUGAGACAUGACUGAUCCGACGAGGGGAAGGCUGAUUCGACAGGGCACAGUGGCAGAGAAAGAAGCGGGGAGGCC
rnacentral:lncRNA from 1 species